ACGGAGACAAUCGUCGCCGUCAGCGGCUGCGCAGGAACGCGCAGCGGUGUUUGCCGCCUGCUGUUGUCAUGGAGACGACAAAAGCAGAGAGACAUCUGCUGCUCUUGGUGUUUGGUGAUGAGGAGCGCCCCGCCCAGCCGGUACAGUUUGCUGCUGAUGAAGGGAACGCCGCAGACCAGCAGCAGGCCUCCGGUCAGAGCGGAGAGCAGCCCGACUACGAUUAGGACGGUCCAGAACCCUCGGAACACUGCGGGGAACACAAACGCAAGGACUUUAAAAACGAGCUUCGUCUCUUAAAGAUUUACUCUGCUUGUCUCGCGUUAGAUUAUCAAACAGACUCUAGAUUUGGAUUUAAUUUGUAAAAGAAAGAAAGAAAAAGCUAUUUGGGCUGAAACGAUUAAUCGGAUUAAUCGGCACAAAUCAAUUCUUGAAAUAAUCACCCGCCUCGAAUUUUGUUAAAGUUCUGAAAGAAGUAAGCACCUUUUGCUGUCCAAUUAUUAGUUGGCUAAUCAAAAUAAUAAUAAUCCAAUAGAUCAGCUCUACCUUGUAUUGAUUUUAAGUCAAGCAGAAAUGGCUGAGCUUUUCACAUGUGGAUGUUAAAAGUGUUUUUUUUUCUUUAGGUGCAGAUGUAUCCUUUGCUACAAAUGAUCAAGCAUUCACUAAAGGAAUGCCAAGUUAUUGCAUGUUAAGUAAUUUUUUUCUUGUUUAAGAAUGAAUUGAAUUAUUGGUGUAUGUGCAUCUUUUAAUGUAUUUAGGAUCAUCUGGUAUAGCAAAACAUCUUGAGAAUGUGCCAGUUUUGAUCAGAUUAAUUACAAAAUAUCAGAUAAAUCAUCAAAAAUAAUCGAUAGAAUAAUCACUUACUAGAAACAAUUGUUAGUUGCAGCCCUAAAAGCUAACCUGCUUCUAUUGCUGAAAAAUCAUGAAGUGUGAGAAAGUUCUCUUUUUUUUGUUCAAUUGCACUUGCCACACCCAGACAGCUAUUGAUACAAUUUAAAAAUAUUUUAAAAAUGACUAGACACACCUUUAAUAAAUCCUAUCAGGGAGAGUUGUUGCCAAAAUGUGGAAAUGUUCAACAGAUGAUUGUAAGAAUGUUAGGAUUGUGUAGCUAAAGUUCAAUGUUAGUAAUUACUUCAAAUUCACUUAUUGCACUACAACCCUGUUUAGGUGUCCAUGCUUUAUGUUUUAUUAUUCUGUACAUCUGUAUGGUAAACUUAUUGUCAGUAAAUUAGUUUUCAUAGAGUUAAGAAUAAAUCAUACAUUCUCUAUAA